rnacentral:ribozyme from 1 species
UUGUUUCAUGGGCGUAGCAAGUUCAUCAAGUCAUAAAACUUUAGAAUUAGGGGACGAAUUUUGGACGAUAGGACGAUUACUUGGUAGAGGAGCGUUUGGAGAUGUUUUCUUGUUGCGCUUGCAGGAGACCGACGCAACA